AGCCGACCUGAGAGGGUGAUCGGCCACAUUGGAACUGAGACACGGUCCAAACUCCUACGGGAGGCAGCAGUGGGGAAUAUUGCACAAUGGGCGAAAGCCUGAUGCAGCAACGCCGCGUGAGUGAUGAAGGCCUUCGGGUCGUAAAACUCUGUCCUCAAGGAAGAUAAUGACGGUACUUGAGGAGGAAGCCCCGGCUAACUACGUGCCAGCAGCCGCGGUAAUACGUAGGGGGCUAGCGUUAUCCGGAUUUACUGGGCGUAAAGGGUGCGUAGGCGGUCUUUCAAGUCAGGAGUGAAAGGCUACGGCUCAACCGUAGUAAGCUCUUGAAACUGGGAGACUUGAGUGCAGGAGAGGAGAGUGGAAUUCCUAGUGUAGCGGUGAAAUGCGUAGAUAUUAGGAGGAACACCAGUUGCGAAGGCGGCUCUCUGGACUGUAACUGACGCUGAGGCACGAAAGCGUGGGGAGCAAACAGGAUUAGAUACCCUGGUAGUCCACGCUGUAAACGAUGAGUAC
rnacentral:rRNA from 1 species